rnacentral:rRNA from 1 species
CACGUAGGAGGCGAGCGUUGUCCGGAAUCAUUGGGCGUAAAGAGCGCGCAGGCGGCUUGGCAAGUCGGGUGUGAAAUCCCGGGGCUCAACCCCGGGACUGCAUUCGAUACUGUCAGGCUAGAGGUAGGUAGGGGAGAUCGGAAUUCCUGGUGUAGCGGUGAAAUGCGCAGAUAUCAGGAGGAACACCGGUGGCGAAGGCGGAUCUCUGGGCCUUACCUGACGCUGAGGAGCGAAAGCGUGGGGAGCGAACAGG